rnacentral:rRNA from 1 species
UAGGGAAUCUUCCACAAUGGACGCAAGUCUGAUGGAGCAACGCCGCGUGAGUGAAGAAGGUUUCGGAUCGUAAAGCUCUGUUGUAAGAGAAGAACGUGUGUGAGAGUGGAAAGUUCACACAGUGACGGUAACUUACCAGAAAGGGACGGCUAACUACGUGCCAG